AGCUUUGCGCAGUGGCAGUAUCGUAGCUAAUGAGGUUUAUCCGAGGCACGAUUAUUGCUAAUUGAAAUAUAAAUAUGUGUAUAUUAUUCUAGUAUUGAUUUAUAAUUUAAGCAUGAGGCGAAGUAAUUUUGGCU